rnacentral:lncRNA from 1 species
UAUCUUUUGAUUUUGAAUGUGUGCACAUGAAUUUUAGAUGGAAAUUUAUCGGCCUGGGCUAGGAAGAUAAUGGAGACUGCUACACAUGUUCCUUCGUUCCUCUGGAGCAAUAAAGAAGAUAUGGAAGCUGGGGCUUCAAUUGUAUCUCCCACACUUAGUAUACACACAUGAAUAUAGUUACAAGUCAAAUCACAUAUUGUGCUCAUUUCACAAUCUAAUGUAGGAC